AGCACGCCGCGUGAGUGAAGAAGGUUUUCGGAUCGUAAAGCUCUGUUGUUAGAGAAGAACGUGUGUGAGAGUGGAAAGUUCACACUGUGACGGUAACUUACCAGAAAGGGACGGCUAACUACGUGCCACCAGCCGCGGUAAUACGUAGGUCCCGAGCGUUGUCCGGAUUUAUUGGGCGUAAAGCGAGCGCAGGCGGUUUAUUAAUUCUGAGGUAAAAGGCAGUGGCUUAACCAUUGUUUGCUUUGGAAACUGGUAGACUUGAGUGCAGAAGAGGAGAGUGGAAUUCCAUGUGUAGCGGUGAAAUGCGUAGAUAUAUGGAGGAA
rnacentral:rRNA from 1 species